AUGAAUUAAAUAGGAGGUAGUUGUUGCUGGCCUUCUUAAUGAGGGGGCAUGUGCACACUAUGUCUUUCAUUACCUUUCUCACCUGUGCACUAACUGUAGGUUCAGCCGGCUAGUUUUGGCUCGCAUGAACCUAUGUCUUCAUAUACAUCUUUGUGUAGAAAGUCUUUGAAUGUUUAUUAUCAGAGAGUUGCGACUUCUAGGAGUUGUGAAUCUUUGAGACAAAAGUUAUUA
rnacentral:misc_RNA from 2 species